ACACAGCAAGCGCCACCACGCCGCCGCUGUCACCUCCUCCGCCUCACCUCCACGGCGGAACCAUCGUCUCCGGCGAGUAGCUUCGCUUCCGGCCUCCCUCUCUGAUCGGCUCUGUGACUGCAGCAGCGAAGGCUGCCGCGGCCACCUCCGGUCGUCCUCGCCUCUCCCGUUCACGUCUUCCUCUCUCUCACAUCUCCCUCGUUAACAGAUCCGACGGCCCAGCAGCAGGAGAACCGCCGCCGCCGACAGCAUCUGCCUCUCUGAUUUCCGGCGAAGCCGCAGCCGCAGCCGCCGACAACCCAGAUCGGAGACAACGGCAGGUUCGCCGCCGCCGCUCCGACGCCGGCGACGUGCCUCCGCGGCAGCCGCCUCCCUGAACCCUUCUCACACACGAAUCAGGGGGUUCAGCCCCGAUUUCAGUCAACACAUAGAAAUAGGCUUUUUACUGAAUUCAUUUUCAAAUACUGUAAAUGUUCUUCAAUCGAGCAUACUGCACUUAAACAUUUAUUCAUGUAAUUUCAACUCUUCAUUUGUAUAUGUAAAUUCUGUUUAUAACAGGCUGCGUAUGCACAUAAAAAUGGAAUAUGAGAAGUUCGUA